UCGGGAAUUUUGGGCAAUGGGGGAAACCCUGACCCAGCAACGCCGCGUGAAGGAUGAAGUAUUUCGGUAUGUAAACUUCGAAAGAAUAGGAAGAAUAAAUGACGGUACUAUUUAUAAGGUCCGGCUAACUACGUGCCAGCAGCCGCGGUAAUACGUAGGGACCAAGCGUUGUUCGGAUUUACUGGGCGUAAAGGGCGCGUAGGCGGCAAUUCAAGUCAUCUGUGAAAUCUCCGAGCUUAACUCGGAACGGUCAAGUGAUACUGCUGUGCUAGAGUACAGAAGGGGCAAUCGGAAUUCUUGGUGUAGCGGUGAAAUGCGUAGAUAUCAAGAGGAACACCUGAGGUGAAGACGGGUUGCUGGGCUGAUACUGACGCUGAGGCGCGAAAGCUAGGGUAGCAAACGGGAUUAGAUACCCGCGUAGUCCCUGAGCGGGCUGGCAAGGCGCAU
rnacentral:rRNA from 1 species